rnacentral:tRNA from 1 species
CAAUUUAAAUCUUAUAAGAAGUUUUUUAUUUACAUUAAAAGGAUAACUGUUUGAAUCAGUUUAAAUUGA